GGCUGCAGAGAUGGUUUUCUGAGCAUGGAGCAACUCAAGGCCAACCUUUCCCAGGGGCAGUUUGAGAGAACGCUUUAGAGUAGCUUGGAAAUAGGUUGUCUUGGUGGCUUCUCUCUGACUGCCAACUGCUCAUCAGCUCCCGGGUCACUGUGAGAGUGGACUGACAUUUUCUCUGGGUACCUCUUUCUUCAUUUUGGCCUUGUGUCUGUGCGACCAGAGCCCAUUGUCUCUCAGGAAGGACACCUGAGUUAUGGAAGCCCAACAGUUUUUGUGUGAACUGUAAAUAACAAUGGAAAGGAUCUGGGGUAUUUCAUGGAGUGUCUAUAAGAUUUUUGCUCCCUGGAGGAACAAGUGGGAAUUUUGUGGGAGAGCCUUCCAAGGCGCAUUGAAGCAGAUCACACCCCUUCAGUUCACCUGCUAAGAGGACAAAGGUCAGCAGCAACAGGAUUUAACACGGGGCAAACAGGAAUGUCUCUUUUAACUGUCUGAGCAGCAAACAGAACUCUGAGCCUGCAAGGAACGAUUUCCUCCUCUUGUUGAUAGAUCGACUCAAUCAACAGAAGAGGAGGCGCCCCCGGCUUGUGUCUAGGACUGUUCUCGGCAGCUGUGUGCAUGGCUCUGACUAGGACAGUUGCAGUGUGCGGUCAGAGGAAUGAGAGCCCAGAGCAAGGGCUUUGCCGAGCCGCUCCCCAUGGUUCACACUCAUUUGCAGGACCAUACCAUCCGUUUUAAUUCAUCAGCAGAGCCAUGGAGCCUGUGAUUUUUGCCACUUAGGAGAAGAUAAGAGUGUGGAUGAGCCAGCCUUUGUCUGUCAAAUUCGAUGUGGCUGGACAAGCCAGGGUUGCAAAGCUCAGAAUAAGAGAGUGCAGAAUGAUUGGUGAGCACAGACCGGUGAAAAGACUCAGGGGCUCCUGGGCUGUGAGAGUUCCUGAACUGAGUGGGAGGGUCAGGAAA